rnacentral:rRNA from 1 species
GACGAACGCUGGCGGCGUGCUUAGCACAUGCAAGUCGAACGAUGAACCCGGAGCUUGCUCCGGUGGAUUAGUGGCGAACGGGUGAGUAACACGUGAGUAACCCGCCCUUGACUCUGGGAUAACUGCGGGAAACUGUAGCUAAUACCGGAUACGACCCUCGGCGGCAUCGCCAGGGGGUGGAAAGAAUUUCGGUCAAGGAUGGACUCGCGGCCUAUCAGCUAGGUGGUGAGGUAACGGCUCACCAAGGCGACGACGGGUAGCCGGCCUGAGAGGGUGACCGGCCACACUGGGACUGAGACACGGCCCAGACUCCUACGGGAGGCAGCAGUGGGGAAUAUUGCACAAUGGGCGCAAGCCUGAUGCAGCAACGCCGCGUGAGGGAUGACGGCCUUCGGGUUGUAAACCUCUUUUAGUAGGGAAGAAGCGAAAGUGACGGUACCUGCAGAAAAAGCACCGGCUAACUACGUGCCAGCCGCCGCAGUAA